CUUGUUAGAGUAGAUUUAUGUAUGCUUUCGGGUAGGAAAUAAUAUAAUAGCCAAGUAUCUGCGUAUAUUUCAUGCCCUCGUGCCCUACUUUUUACUAGUUUUGAUAUUUUGAAGCUGCUCAGCUCAUCUGCCAGUCUUUCCAAAUGUCUCACAUCUCCAGAAAAGCUUCCAAUGUAUUCAUUGGAAAAAAAAAUUCCCACACAGAAAUGUGUCUGCACAGCCCUAUAUCAAGGAUCACAUAUGCGUCUGUGGGUUAACCUUGUCAAGUCAGAUUGCAAGUAACGUGGGUAGGUCUGUGGUAAAUUUCCCGUUGAUUAAGAAAAGGUUAAUUCAUGAAGAAACUUGAAGUAUGUCACCUGUUUUACAAUGAUUUUCUAGCAUUGACGAAAUCAACCACUCUCGCUAUUUGGAAUGUGAGUUGUUAAGUGAACCUUGUCCGCUUGUUUGUCCUUCAGAGUCAAAACCUCUGGGCCGCCUAAGUGGCUCAAGGGGUUAAGCGUCUGACUCUUGGUUUCAGCUCAGGUCAUGAUGUCAUGGUUCACGGAUUGAGCCCUGCACCGGGCUCUGCCCUCGACUGACUGGAGAGUGUGCGUCCACCUCCUUGGAGCCCACCUGUACGCCGUGUCUUGGGCGGGCACUCAGUAUUGGCGGGAGAGAAACCCCAUGCGUGGUGAUGGUCCCUGGCAUCCCUCUCUUCAGAAACACUUCGUCCAUAAUAUUUCCUGCUUGACUAAGGAAAUAAGACUUAUACACUGCCUUUCGUCAAGAGUCGUACCAUCAUUUUUGAAAAGUACAUUUCAUAUGUUUGUCUCUGAUUGGGCCAGGUGUUCAGUCUAAGGGCUUUUCAAUACCGUCAGCCUUUCCACAAGCCAGCUUGCCAGACGAGGCCAGAGGCUGGGGAUGGGCAGCAGGGUUCUCAGGCUGUUGUUCCCAAGUCAGCAGGGUUUCUGAGUCAUAAACCUGCCAGGCACCUGAAAAUGUCUGUCCCCUUGAGAGUAGGUCCCUACGAAAAUCCCUGGGACUCCUGUGGGUGGUGAGGAGGGGACUUGUGUGUGUUGCUACUUGACGUUGGUGAGUGUGCUCUGGAGAGCCACGGAGGCCUGGUGCACUCUUGCUAAUGACCCCCUGUGACUCUCCACUUUUGUCCCCUCUCUGACCCCUGGAGUGUACAGCCCUUGCUGAAGAGCUCAACAGCUGUAGGAGCAGCUCUUGCAGAGAAAGGAAGAGGUCGUCCAACUGAAGGCAGAGAAAAAACACCAGGCUGCUGCUGGAACAUUUGGAGUUCCUCUUCUACAGGCACUAGAGAUCUUUUCGGAAAACGGUGGUGAGGCUACAGAAGACUCCAGCCGGCGUGUACAGUGAGGCCGAGGGGCUGAAGGUCUUUAAACUCCAUAUUGGAGAACAAAAGGGAGGAAGAAACGGUGUGCCUCGCCACGGCGGUUCUCGACUUGUGCACAUGCUGUGUGUUAUCAGGCAUACAUUGCGUUUUUGUGUGACUGGAAUUUCCUUUUAAGCUCCUUGAAUUCAUGUAAGAAGACGGGUCUUUAUGGAUAAAAAGCAGUGGUUGGUGGAAAUGUGUGUACCGAUUUGCUGGUACAAAUUGCAUAAUGUAAUUUAUUUCGGGGAACAUUUGUCUCCAAUGUAAAAUUGAAAGCUGUUAACAAGCAAGUUUGUGAACAUGAGCAUCCUUGAAAGUCCUUACCAGCAUUCUGUCAUGUUAUUUGAAGCGAAGGGGACCUUAGGGUGGCUUUACAGUACGGAUUAAUGAAAAAUCCUCCACGUACAAACUCAACCGCUUGGUUCCAGGUGAGAGAGCAGUUAUGUGUGGCACUGGAGUGGUAUAGUUUCUUCGAAGAAGAAUCAGGGGCUACAUGCAAAGAGUACAGAGCCAGAUGAAGGAGUGCCUAGCUGCCCUCUCCACUCUCGUGGCCAAGGUGGAGGAAGAUCUAGACAACGCGCGGAAGGAUGUCACCAUUUCAGAAGUAAUGAACACCAUGUUACGACGAGAUGUGCAUGAAGUGAGAGGCAGUUGAGAAGGCCUCGCUGUCUUCAAGUCAAACGUGGGGUGUUUGAUUCGGUCUUUGCCCACUCUGUCCUUACUCUCAUAUAUUUUUUGAACGUUUUGGUAGAAGUAGCUGUAAAACGGAACAUUAUUCCAGGGCCUGGCAGCUGCCUCCCCGUCUGUAUGAUGGAAUCUGUCCUCCCUGGGCUCUAACCUACCAAGGCCUGGUGAGUAGGCGGCGUAGUGCCUUCAGGUGUGGAGUGCGUGCCACCUGAUCUUGUCCCACGCCAUGCUAACAGUCCGUUCUGGUAACACGCUCAGCACACUCGAACCACUGUGGUUCAGCCGCUCUGUUACUGGCACUGUGUCCGGGGCUGGCUCUUGUGCAUAUGCUCUGUGCUCCCGGGUCACGGCCUGGAAGGGUUGCUGAGGGUUCUCGACUCAGGGCGCUUAGAGUCCAGAUCAGCUUGGGAGGGAGAGUGUCAUCUCCCUGGAGCAGCCCUCUCCGGCAGCUGCUGGCCUAUGCUUCUCACUCGUGUGGGGCGGUGUGUCCUGUGCCAAGCACACGUGGAAGAUGCUCUUCCAUGCGUCCCCCAAUCCGACAGGCUCUCAGGAUAGUCCCUUGAGCAACCUCAGCAGCAGUAGCAGUAACCACGACUCGCUGCACAACGCCCUCAAAAAGAAGGUCAUCUUUUUGAGGUCUGCUUGUUAGACAAGAAACAAAAGGUCCACCCCGGCCACGCUAGUGCUCUAUAUAGCUGGAAAGGGGUUCUAUAUAGCUGUAAAUAGGUUAUAUCUCCUCCAUAGUGAACCUAAGGCCCGUAUUAAGAUAUGGUUCCUGGAGGACGUAGGGCAUGUAUGAAAUCUGGAAAGGACUCACGUGGAAUCCCACUCCACCUUGUGAAGUUGUGCAGGGAGGGCCUGACCCCAGAGCACUUGACUCUGAGCCUGGCUCCUGCACAGAUGAGUUUGGGGCUUUGGGGAAGCUACAUAUUAGCAUUCCUGUGCUUCCACUUAAUCACCUGUUAAUAGGAUCUGUGGGAGCACUUCCGUCAUAUGGCUUAUAGGAGGUCUGCAUCCAAACAUCUACGAGAUAUUUUGAUCACAGAAGCUCCAUCACAUUAUGUGUAACUGCAGCCCCUGUGGGGACAU